rnacentral:rRNA from 1 species
AACGAACGCUGGCGGCAUGCCUAACACAUGCAAGUCGAACGAGACCUUCGGGUCUAGUGGCGCACGGGUGCGUAACGCGUGGGAACCUGCCCUUAGGUUCGGAAUAACUCCCCGAAAGGGGUGCUAAUACCGGAUAAUGUCUUCGGACCAAAGAUUUAUCGCCUUUGGAUGGGCCCGCGUUGGAUUAGCUAGUUGGUAGGGUAAAAGCCUACCAAGGCGACGAUCCAUAGCUGGUCUGAGAGGAUGAUCAGCCACACUGGGACUGAGACACGGCCCAGACUCCUACGGGAGGCAGCAGUGGGGAAUAUUGGACAAUGGGCGAAAGCCUGAUCCAGCAAUGCCGCGUGAGUGAUGAAGUCCUUAGGGUUGUAAAGCUCUUUUAACCGGGAUGAUAAUGACAGUACCGGGAGAAUAAGCUCCGGCUAACUCCGUG